UACGGAGGGAGCUAGCGUUAUUCGGAAUUACUGGGCGUAAAGCGCACGUAGGCGGAUAUUUAAGUGAGGGGUGAAAUCCCAGGGCUCAACCCUGGAACUGCCUCUCAUACUGGGUAUCUCGAGUUCGAGAGAGGUGAGUGGAAUUGCGAGUGUAGAGGUGAAAUUCGUAGAUAUUCGCAGGAACACCAGUGGCGAAGGCGGCUCACUGGCUCGAUACUGACGCUGAGGUGCGAAAGCGUGGGGAGCAAACAGG
rnacentral:rRNA from 1 species